rnacentral:rRNA from 1 species
GGCCUCAAAUGAUGUGUGACUACCCC